UGUAGAAGGACACUCAGUGUUAUUAACUUUCAUCAACUUAUUAACUAUAUAACUCUCUUAUUUUUGGUCUCAGUGAGAAUAACUGUUGUCCUCUGUUCAUUGUUCAGAUCUCCAGUACUGAACAACAAUGGUGGGAAUCUGACGUUCCACAUUCCUCGCACUGAUAUUAAAGGCGUGGUCAAAGUGUGUGUUGUCCUCCCAGAUGGUAGUUGCCAUGGCAAUGCUACAAUCACCUACCGGUCCUCACCUUCCUGCACUGACAUUGUACCACGCAGCUCUUGGUUCAGGUAUGACUUAAUAUAACCACACAUACAGAGCCAGAAACUGAGACAAAAAAGUCCAGAUAAAACUUUCCUGAUUACAUUUUUGAACACAUCUGAUCUCAACGGGAUAUUUCCAACAGCUACUGGGCUAUUUGACUUUUUCAAACUAAAAUUAUGUGUAAACAGCCGUAUGUCAGUAUGAAAAAUUCUCCACUGUUCUGUGUCCUGUAGUGGGGGGAGAAAGAUCACCCUGAUGGGAUCCCACCUGGAGUUUGUGGAAGGUGUCGUGCACAGUCACACCCAGCAGGAAGUCAGACCGUCAAGACAGAAUGACUUUCAGAAUCUAAUCUACGACACACCUGCAGCUCAAACGAAUGGGAUUUUCACAAGCAAAGUGAUUCUAAAGGUAGCCAAUGAAACCUUGGUCUGCUCCACAAGAAUAACCUACUAUCCAGACCCUGAGUUCAUCAGUUUCACACUCAUGAGAAUAGGGGAGGAUGUGCGCAUCACCCUACAGGUACCGCGUAUUUCCCGCAUUCAUGCGCACAUGUGACGUCUGCUUAUGAGCAUCAUCAUUUGCUUCUGUUGUCGUUUUAGAAAAAGGCAGACAAACUGGACAUGACAGUGGCUGAGUUGUCAGUGUGGGGGGUUCAGGAUGGAAAACAACACCCCUGUAUCAUAGAAGCCAAAGAAACGAGUAACAAGUCUGACUUCUUUAUCUGUGGAAUUCAAAGGACACCGAAUGCUAAGUUUCAGCAUUUAAUGGUAAAUCCUUCAUUUAAAUGGAAAUACUGUAGAGAAAUACAUCCGUAGGUUUAGUGUGAUUGUAGGCAGUAAUUCACUGUAUAAUAGCAAAGUCCUCAGGAGUAAUUUAGAUUUCACACAAGGGCUUUCAAAUUGUCAUGUUUACUUUGAGGUCUUUAUCACACACACAUUAAAUGUAUUUGGACCCACUGCUCUGUCCCACUGUAUUUUUUAUUUUUUUAAAUAACAGCACUGUUAUUGUUUCCAGAUAACGUUUGGUGACAAGACAGUAACACUAGGGCAUCCAUCUCUAGUACAUCAGGUCAUGCUGAUACUACGUUUACUGUUGAUACCCUGUGUUAUUUUUGGUAAGUCGUUUACUAGACUGGAUUUUUAAUAUAAUUCUUUUUCAAAUUAAUCUGAAUAAUUUCCUCUUUACAUUCCAUAUCAUUGUGAUUAUGUUAAAUGUUAGUUUUCUAAUGCUUUUAAUAGAGUCGAGGCAUCCCAUUGUCUGUCUGUUUGGUUUGAAUCAUUAACUGUGUUUGUCUUUCAGUGUUGCUGAUCAUCUGUCGAUGGCAAAAGAAGCUGAUGAGAUGAACAACCAUUAGCUGAAACCUGGAGAACUUUUUUGCAACUCCAUUAUCAGAAUGAAUGUCAUUCGUCUGGUUAUAUUCUUCCUUGAUACACAUUGCUCCACCUGUAGGUUACUAGAGUGAAGUUCACUCUUUUGUCUCCUUUGUCAAGGGACGCAAUCUUAAAUGUACAGUGAGUGUAAGAGGGCUUCCUGAAAUGUUCAGUUUUGGGCUUAACAUAUCUUGCAACAAUCAGCUGCUUCAUGCCUCAAAAUUACCAAUGACACUUGUAAUUUUAAGUUGUUGAAACAUUUUAGCAUGUUCAACUUAAAUGUCACAGUCAACUUCGACUGGAAUCUUGAUUGACUGAAGUCCUUAUUUCAAACAUGUACUUUUUUUCUAAGACCAACAAAAGUAUAGCCCAUAAGAAAACAGUUCAUUCUAAUAACAUGUUUGAAAAGGAGUUGGAGAAGGUGUGAAUUUAAUCCAAUCCCACUCCCUCUCCAUCAUAAAACCAAGUUUCAGACUUUGCAGAUUUUGUUAUCAUUAGGAAGAGCCAGACUAGCUGUUUCCCACUGUUUCCAGUGUAUAUGCUAAGAUAAGCUAACCUAUUUGAGGCUGUAACUUCUUAUAUACCGUAUAGAUUUGAGGAUGGUGUCAAUCUUCUCGUCCAAAUCCCCCCCAGAAAGCAAGUAAGAGUAUUUCCCCAAAUCUCGAAAUGUUCCUACAGCAACAGGCCGUUGAGUCUCUUUCUGAUAUCAAAUCCUGUUCAUACAGCCAGACUACACAUCAAGUAAAGGUAAUUUGGCUGGAAGAGUAUUACUGAAGAACAAUUACAACAUAAACUAAUAAGGUUCUGCCCAUUUGGGUGUGAGCACAAUUAAAAGCCAAUAUAUGAGAUGGAAUUUAUUUUUCCAACAGAGUGAAAGUGCCAUAGGUAGUUUAAAUUAGCUAGCUAGCUUUUAUAUGUGGACAUUUAGAAUAUGCAUGUUAGUCUCCUGUCUGCACCCUGUAAUUAUGUAUUUUAUGUCCCAGUAUAAAUUAUUUUUGGGGCCCCUAUUUUUGUUCCCUACUGUUUCUACGUAAGCUUUUGCUUAUACCUGUCAAUAACUACCCAGUAGACCUUUUUCUGUGUUAAGUAUUCGCUCCAACAAAGUGGGCAUGAUGGCUUCAUCCAGCAGAGGGCCAGGAAUUCCUUUUUUUUUUUCAUUUUAAUUAUUGUACAUUUAAAUUUCAGGGCAUUUAGCAGAUGCUUCAUACACUGAUGGUGGUGGCUGCUAUUCAAGGUGCCAACCUGCACAUCAGGAGCAGUUUGGGGUUCAGUAUUUUGCCCAAGGACACUUCAACAUGCAGACCAGGGGAACGGAACCAGCGACCUUCCGAUACCAAGUUGCUGGCUCUACCCCUGAUCUACAGCUGCCCAUAUUUUUUUUAACAUAUUUUAUACACAUUUUUCAAUUUGUACAUCUCUGUUAAUUAUUAAAAAUA
rnacentral:lncRNA from 1 species